GACAUAGGUGGCGAACGUUAUCCGGAUUUAUUGGGCGUAAAGGAUGCGUAGGUGGCGGAAUAAGUUAUUAGUUGAAGUCAGGCUCAACUUGACGGAAGCUGGUAAAACUGUUCUGCUAGAGGACAAAAGGAAGUUAGGCGGAACUCACAUGGAGGAAGGUGAAAUCUAUUGAUCCAUGGAAGGACCACCAAAAAGGCGAAGGCUAGCUAACUAUUUUACUCCGUGACACUGAG
rnacentral:rRNA from 1 species